GAUGAACGCUAGCGGCAGGCUUAACACAUGCAAGUCGAGGGGUAUAGUUCUUCGGAACUAGAGACCGGCGCACGGGUGCGUAACGCGUAUGCAAUCUACCUUUUACAGAGGGAUAGCCCAGAGAAAUUUGGAUUAAUACCUCAUAGUAUGUGAGAAUCGCAUGGUUUUCACAUUAAAGUUCCAACGGUAAAAGAUGAGCAUGCGUCCCAUUAGCUAGAUGGUAAGGUAACGGCUUACCAUGGCGACGAUGGGUAGGGGUCCUGAGAGGGAGAUCCCCCACACUGGUACUGAGACACGGACCAGACUCCUACGGGAGGCAGCAGUGAGGAAUAUUGGGCAAUGGGCGCAAGCCUGAUCCAGCCAUGCCGCGUGCAGGAUGAAGGCCCUCGGGGUUGUAAAACUGCUUUUGACAGGGAAGAAAUCACUUAUGCGUAAGUGUCUGACGGUACCUGUAGAAUAAGCACCGGCUAAACUCCGUGCCAGCAGCCG
rnacentral:rRNA from 1 species